rnacentral:rRNA from 1 species
AGUGAACGCUGGCGGUAGGCCUAACACAUGCAAGUCGAACGGCAGCACAGUAAGAGCUUGCUCUUACGGGUGGCGAGUGGCGGACGGGUGAGGAAUACAUCGGAAUCUACUUUUUCGUGGGGGAUAACGUAGGGAAACUUACGCUAAUACCGCAUACGACCUACGGGUGAAAGCAGGGGAUCUUCGGACCUUGCGCGAUUGAAUGGGCCGAUGUCGGAUUAGCUAGUUGGCGGGGUAAAGGCCCACCAAGGCGACGAUCCGUAGCUGGUCUGAGAGGAUGAUCAGCCACACUGGAACUGAGACACGGUCCAGACUCCUACGGGAGGCAGCAGUGGGGAAUAUUGGACAAUGGGCGUAAGCCUGAUCCAGCCAUACCGCGUGGGUGAAGAAGGCCUUCGGGUUGUAAAGCCCUUUUGUUGGGAAAGAAAAGCAGCAGGUUAAUACCCCGCUGUUCUGACGGUACCCAAAGAAUAAGCACCGGCUAACUUCGUG